AUAUCGUUUUUGCUCAAAAUUAUUCUUUUAUUUGUCACUCCCAGCAACAUUUUAAUUUCACUAAAACAUCACCGUGGAGUUAUUGAGUCUGUUUAGCUGAUUGAAGAGUUACCUUCCGCAGCUGGUGGGUCCAUGAGGAUGACUUCUGUUUUGUUUUUUUAUCAUCUUUUUUUUCAGGCACCCAUUGGAAACAAUUAAGGAUGACACGCAUGGGAAAAACCCACAGCCAGACGUUGCCUUCGCCCAGAGCGGAGACACCACCUCCUCAUCCUCACUCCAUUGUCAUGUUAGAAGAUGAAAAGCAAACUGCCGAGUACACAGGUAUUUUUUUAUAUUCAUGAUUUUAUCUAUUUUAGCCCUUAUGAAUGAGGUUAGUCCUCGUUAAAAAAAACAUUCACAAGCUGCCAAGCACUUGUCAUUAGUUGUAUUCAAAAUUAAUUUAGUAGUUUUACUUUUAGAAGGAAAUGUGAUCUUGCAGGAAUCAAAAGCAGAUCAACUUUAAUCAGACUCACAAGAAUAAAAACAGACUAGUUAUUUAUUGUCACUCUUCUAAGGAAUCUAGCUGU